CUUUUCGGGCGUUUUCGUGAUUUGGGCUAUAUUACGGACCCAAAAUUACUUGUUCAAGCAUUGUUUUCGAAUUUUUUCAUGCAUCAAAGUUCGUUAAGACUAGAUGGGGUAUCCCUAUAUAGCGGGUGAGACCCACGGCAAAUGGUUCAUCAAGUCUUCAAAAAAGMAUAUAUAAAAUUGCAUUGCAUAUACUMACGGAUGCGAUCAUACCAGCACUAAUGCACCGGAUCCCAUCAGAACUCCGCAGUUAAGCGCGCUUGGGCGAGAGUAGUACUAGGAUGGGUGACCUCCCGGGAAGUCCUCGUGUUGCAUCCCUCUUUUAUGUUUAACCUUUUUUUUUUUGGUUAAAACUUUAUGACUCCAUAACUUUUAGACCGUGAGGCCAAACUUGGCAUGUGA
rnacentral:rRNA from 1 species